rnacentral:rRNA from 1 species
UACGUAGGGUGCGAGCGUUAAUCGGAAUUACUGGGCGUAAAGCGUGCGCAGGCGGAUUGUUAAGCAAGAUGUGAAAUCCCCGGGCUUAACCUGGGAAUGGCAUUUUGAACUGGCAAUCUAGAGUUUGAGAGAGGGAAGUGGAAUUCCACAUGUAGCGGUGAAAUACGUAGAUAUGUGGAGGAACAUCAGUGGCGAAGGCGGCUUCCUGGCUUAAAACUGACACUGUGGCGCGAAAGCGUGGGUAGCAAACAGG